rnacentral:rRNA from 1 species
UCACGAAGUAGUUUGAGUUAAAUAUAAUUGUAAUGUUAGUUGUUUUAGGUUUGGUGUGGCAAAAUCAUAGCCCAAAUUAUAUUUAGGGGUGAUAGGCUCUUCAAAAACUAGGAUAUCUUGAUUCCAAAUAAAUGUAUUUAGUACAAUUAGUACAUUUAUUGAGUGUUUAGGCUUAGUAAAAAUAUUAAUAUAUAUUGAUUGCUUUUUUUAGGUUAUAAUAAAUAAAAAUUGUAGUGUAAUAUUAUUCUACUCUUGAAGGUUAUAGUUAGUAUUUGGAUGGCUUAAAGCUCGUAUAUCUUUUAAUAAUGUUUAUAUUAGUAUACUUACCAGUUUUAUAUGAGGAACUCGGCAAAUAUUCUUCUUAACUGUUUACCAAAAACAUAACUGUGUGUAUUAAUACAUAGCGGUUUCUGCUCAAUGAUUAUAUUAAAUAGCCGCAGUAUUCUGACUGUGCAAAGGUAGCAUAAUCAAUUGACUUAUAAUUGAAGUCUGGAAUGAAGGAAAGUAUGGGAAGGGACUGUCUUAUAUAGAUAUUAAGAAUUUAUUUAUGAAGUGAAAAUCCUUCUUUUUACAUAAAAGACGAGAAGACCCUAGAAAUUUUAAGUAAUGCUAGAUUCUCUCUCUAGUUAUUUUUCGCUGGGGCGGCGGAGUAGCAUAGAACCUACUUAUACAUUAUCUGCGCCUUGUAUGGGAUUUGUUUAAGUUACUCUAGGGAUAACAGCAUAAUAUUUAAAAGUUUGUGACCUCGAUGUUGGACUAGGACAUAAUAACCUAAAAGGUUUUUUAUAUUGCUCUGUUCGAGCAUAAACUCCUACAUGAUC